AAAUAAAAAAAGCCAGAUAAAUCAUUUAUCUGGCUUAGGGAAAUGGCUCAUUUUGAGCCGUGCGCUAAAAAGUAAAAUGUUGCUUACGGCAUAAACAAAAAUCGAGAACUCACUCAGACUUUCUCAGACU
rnacentral:sRNA from 1 species